rnacentral:rRNA from 1 species
AGAGUUUGAUCCUGGCUCAGGACGAACGCUGGCGGCACGCUUAACACAUGCAAGUCGAACGAGAGAAGAGGAGCUUGCUUUUCUGAUCUAGUGGCGGACGGGUGAGUAACACGUGAGCAAUCUGCCUUUCAGAGGGGGAUACCGAUUGGAAACGAUCGUUAAUACCGCAUAACAUAAUUGAACCGCAUGAUUUGAUUAUCAAAGAUUUAUCGCUGAAAGAUGAGCUCGCGUCUGAUUAGCUAGUUGGUAAGGUAACGGCUUACCAAGGCGACGAUCAGUAGCCGGACUGAGAGGUUGAUCGGCCACAUUGGGACUGAGACACGGCCCAGACUCCUACGGGAGGCAGCGGUGGGGAAUAUUGCACAAUGGAGGAAACUCUGAUGCAGCGAUGCCGCGUGAGGGAAGAAGGUUUUAGGAUUGUAAACCUCUGUCUUCAGGGACGAAAAAAGACGGUACCUGAGGAGGAAGCUCCGGCUAACUACGUGCCAGCAGCCGCGGUAAUACGUAGGGAGCGAGCGUUGUCCGGAAUUACUGGGUGUAAAGGGAGCGUAGGCGGGAUCGCAAGUCAGAUGUGAAAACUAUGGGCUUAACCCAUAAACUGCAUUUGAAACUGUGGUUCUUGAGUGAAGUAGAGGUAAGCGGAAUUCCUAGUGUAGCGGUGAAAUGCGUAGAUAUUAGGAGGAACAUCAGUGGCGAAGGCGGCUUACUGGGCUUUAACUGACGCUGAGGCUCGAAAGCGUGGGGAGCAAACAGGAUUAGAUACCCUGGUAGUCCACGCCGUAAACGAUGAUUACUAGGUGUGGGGGGACUGACCCCUUCCGUGCCGCAGCAAACGCAAUAAGUAAUCCACCUGGGGAGUACGACCGCAAGGUUGAAACUCAAAGGAAUUGACGGGGGCCCGCACAAGCAGUGGAGUAUGUGGAUUAAUUCGAAGCAACGCGAAGAACCUUACCAGGUCUUGACAUCGUAUGCAUAGCUCAGAGAUGAGUGAAAUCUCUUCGGAGACAUAUAGACAGGUGGUGCAUGGUUGUCGUCAGCUCGUGUCGUGAGAUGUUGGGUUAAGUCCCGCAACGAGCGCAACCCUUACUGUUAGUUGCUACGCAAGAGCACACUAGCAGGACUGCCGUUGACAAAACGGAGGAAGGUGGGGAUGACGUCAAAUCAUCAUGCCCCUUAUGACCUGGGCCUCACACGUACUACAAUGGCUGUCAACAGAGGGAAGCAAAGCCGCGAGGUGGAGCGAACCCCUAAAAGCAGUCUUAGUUCGGAUUGUAGGCUGCAACCCGCCUACAUGAAGUCGGAAUUGCUAGUAAUCGCAGAUCAGCAUGCUGCGGUGAAUACGUUCCCGGGCCUUGUACACACCGCCCGUCACGCCGC